rnacentral:rRNA from 1 species
UGGGGUAUAUUGGACAAUGGGCGAAAGCCUGAUCCAGCCAUGCCGCGUGUGUGAAGAAGGUCUUCGGAUUGUAAAGCACUUUAAGUUGGGAGGAAGGGCAUUAACCUAAUACGUUAGUGUUUUGACGUUACCGACAGAAUAAGCACCGGCUAACUCUGUGCCAGCAGCCGCGGUAAUACAGAGGGGGCAAGCGUUAAUCGGAAUUACUGGGCGUAAAGCGCGCGUAGGUGGUUUGUUAAGUUGGAUGUGAAAUCCCCGGGCUCAACCUGGGAACUGCAUUCAAAACUGACUGACUAGAGUAUGGUAGAGGGUGGUGGAAUUUCCUGUGUAGCGGUGAAAUGCGUAGAUAUAGGAAGGAACACCAGUGGCGAAGGCGACCACCUGGACUAAUACUGACACUGAGGUGCGAAAGCGUGGGGAGCAAACA